GAUGAAGAACGCAGCGAAAUGCGAUAAGUAAUGUGAAUUGCAGAAUUCCGUGAAUCAUCGAAUCUUUGAACGCACAUUGCGCCCCCUGGUAUUCCGGGGGGCAUGCCUGUCCGAGCGUCAUUGCAACCUUCAAGCGCGGCUUGUGUGUUGGGUCUCGUCCCCCGUGGACGGGCCCGAAAGGCAGUGGCGGCGUCCCGACAUGGUGCCCGAGCGUAUGGGAAUCCUCUUCCGCUCGAAUCGGCCCAUGCGGCGAUGGUCGUAACCAAAUUUUUUACCGGUUGACCUCGGAUCAGGUAGGGAUACCCGCUGAACUUAAGCAUAUCAAUAAGCGGAGGA
rnacentral:misc_RNA from 1 species